UAGGGAAUAUUGGGCAAUGGAGGGAACUCUGACCCAGCCAUGCCGCGUGCAGGAUGAAGGCGUUAUGCGUUGUAAACUGCUUUUUAUAUAGGAAGAAAUAGUCCUUGCGAGGAAAGUUGACGGUACUAUAUGAAUAAGCACCGGCUAACUCCGUGCCAGCAGCCGCGGUAAUACGGAGGGUGCAAGCGUUGUCCGGAUUUAUUGGGUUUAAAGGGUGCGUAGGCGGUUUAUUAAGUCAGUGGUGAAAGACGGUCGCUCAACGAUUGCAGUGCCAUUGAUACUGGUAGACUUGAGUAUGAUUGAGGUAGCUGGAAUGGAUAGUGUAGCGGUGAAAUGCAUAGAUAUUAUCCGGAANACCAAUUGCGUAGGCAAGUUACUAAGUCAUAACUGACGCUGAGGCACGAAAGUGUGGGUAUCAAACAGGAUUAGAUACCCAGGUAGUCCCUGAGCGGGCUGGCAAGGCGCAU
rnacentral:rRNA from 1 species